rnacentral:lncRNA from 1 species
AUGGCAGGGCUGCAGCUGGAACAUCGCGCCCACAAGGUCUUUGCCACCCGCCGGGAGAAGUGCAAGGUGUUCUGGGCCUUGUCCCGGCAGCUCGAGGGGGUCGAGGAGCCCCCACCCAACCUGCUCUGCCGGGACCAGGAAACGCCCAUCUUUGACUUCAAUGAGUUUUGCAUAGAGCUGAGGGACUUCCGCAAUGGCCAAAGGCGGCGAUCCCCUGACUUCACCAUCUACCUCUGCUUUGGGCAGGCCUUCUCCAAGACCAAGCCUAAGGAGUCCAAGCUCAUCCUGGUCAAGCUGGUGCCCAAGUUCUGUGAGUACUGGUACGAGCAGGUGCUGCAGGAGGGAGCCUCCUCCCUGGACAGCCGCACCAUCAGCCUGCAGCUCUCCAACUCCUUUGACCUCAUGGAGCUCAUCGAGCAGUGCAACAUGCAGCUGGGCUGAGCCCUCCUGCCCCGCUCCCCAUGGCCCUGGCACGGGCGCAGGACCACUGAGCAUCCCAGGCUCUGCAAACCACCACCCCUCAACCCAAGGACAAUUUCAAUGACCAGUCCUGAAGCUCACACAUUGCUUUUCCUCUCUGUCAGCUUCUAGUGUGUGUUUCUGUGGAGUGUGAUAAUUUACAGAUUUCUUUUCUUAAUUUUUCCAAGUUAAAAAAUAUAUAUAUAGAAAUGUAGUUCUCUCUUGCCUGGAUAUCUGCCUCUGCUAUCAGUCUGAAAUCUUCACCACUCCCUUCUACCCCCAAAACCAUGGGAGCCCGUGCCCAGCCUUGUCUCUGCAAAGUCCCUGCUGGCAGGGGUGGGCUGGUAUCAGAGAGCUUUAUCAGCACCUUCUUCCCCUUAAAUUUCAGUGGAUGAGGUGACUUCCCAGUGUGAAGGGAUGCAUUUAUCAAUGCAUUUAUCAAUGCAUUUAUUUUCAUGCAUUAAGGCUUCAAACAUGACUCACAAGCAGAAUGUGUUGAGGACAGCUUGGCCUGGGCUAAACAAAAGUAAUUCUUCAUUGAGCACUGCCCAGAGCUACUCACUGGAGAUGUUCUGGAAAAAUAAGGCAGUAAGUACAACAUGGAGCACCCAGACCACCAGCUCAGAGGUGCAGAGGGGGUGGUAUCUCAGGGAGGAGUGUGGAAACCAGAGGGCUGCCUGAAGAUGGGGUGUGCCCUCCCCAGGCUGCAGGCAACUGCACCCCCUCAUUUCAGGAGCCUGACCAUCACUGUUGGUCCCUGGGCAAGGGGAGGUAGCAGUGUCCUUACCUGCCGAGUGACCUGGAUGCUGCUGGGCCCAAAGGUGGUGGUGCCGUAGCUUGUCACGUAAUAGUGAGCAGAGGGCUGUGCUGGGGGCUCCUCCAGUGCCC